UUGCUUAACUUUUGAUUAUUUUUUUUUUUUUUUUAAACAGUGCAUGACUAUACUGUGGUCAGUAACUUACCUGGUUUAUCAUGAUUCUUUCCAUGCUUUUGUCAUGAUAUAAUGCAGAAACAAACUAGUUAUGUUUUGAAAGGGAUAGGCCAAUACAAAAUGUAUUUAUUGAACUUGUAGAAAAUUAGACUACUUCACUACAUCCUGUAUCAUUAAACAGACCUGCAUUUGUUUUCUAUAAAUAUAUAAUCAGACAGAAAACCUCAAGAAUUAAAGAUUAGCCAGCCAAUGAAGUAUAGAACUAUCAUCCAGCUCCUUCUCAACAUAACCAUUUGACCUUCACAUGAUGUGUUUUUUAAAGCAAACCCCAUUCUCCCCCACGAAACAUGCAUCAAUCUGCAUCUGUGAACUGAUCAAUCUGUGUAAUAAAAAAAUAAAUAAAAAAUGCAUGAGCUGUGAUAGCAUGUAUGUUAUUUGCUACCUGUUUAGACCCUGGCUAUGUAUUACAGCUGGUUCUGGGUUGUUUGAUCGGAUGUAGAAGGAUGGCAAAGAAAUCACUUGGAAGACAUUGUGCGACAGUGACCAACCAGAGAACCCCAGGAAGGUGAAACAGCCGUGCUGCUGCAGAGUUCAUUGAUAUGCAGCAGGGAUCCAGUUUGAUCUUCAGAACUGUUUCCAGCAGUCCAACCCCCAGAGCCCACUUUUACUGCAGUUCAGCACUGAGGGCAGUGCCUCUGCAGGCUGGUCUUGGAAUUGUCUUACAGAAGGAGUUGCAGUAGUCUGGUGCUCUCAAUGACUGUCAUUUUACUGAAGGGAGGAGGGUUAAGCAUCUGAUUGAGAAAGGCAUGACAAAGGAGAGGCAGCUUAAGGCUUCCUUGCACCACAUGCUGUUUUUAAUUAUUUGUCCAAUCUUGUAUAGGUGAAGAUUUUACUACUGCAAUGCACAUCCUUUAUAAUGCUGUAGUAGGAAACAAUAGGUCAGAGACAGCCUUAUAGCGAGAACACAAGUGCUAGUGUAAUGGUAUUAGGGGUCAAAUGGUAGCCAUGACUAUAGCACCUUACAACAUGGUCCGUGGUUUAAAGGGCCACCUUACAACGAGGAAGCACUGUAAUUACCUGUAUGCAGUCAGCACUUGGAUAUGCGUUACCCAGAUACGUCAGUCACGUUUAUAUAUAUAUAUAUAUAUAAUUUUUUUUUUUCUCCUUGCAUGCCAAAUCGGUUUGUUUUUAUUGUGUAGUUACACAGCUCUUCCUCCAGUUUCUCCUGACUGAAAUGCAGCCAAAGAGACAAGCUAUGGAAAUGUAACAGUUAAACAGUGUUAGAUACUGUGAUGUAUUGUUAUUUUUUUAAAUCUGUAUCUUUA